rnacentral:rRNA from 1 species
UGGGGAAUAUUGGACAAUGGGCGAAAGCCUGAUCCAGCCAUGCCGCGUGUGUGAAGAAGGCCUUUUGGUUGUAAAGCACUUUAAGCGAGGAGGAGGCUACUUGGAUUAAUACUCUAGGAUAGUGGACGUUACUCGCAGAAUAAGCACCGGCUAACUCUGUGCCAGCAGCCGCGGUAAUACAGAGGGUGCGAGCGUUAAUCGGAUUUACUGGGCGUAAAGCGUGCGUAGGCGGCUUUUUAAGUCGGAUGUGAAAUCCCUGAGCUUAACUUAGGAAUUGCAUUCGGUACUGGGAAGCUAGAGUAUGGGAGAGGAUGGUAGAAUUCCAGGUGUAGCGGUGAAAUGCGUAGAGAUCUGGAGGAAUACCGAUGGCGAAGGCAGCCAUCUGGCCUAAUACUGACGCUGAGGUACGAAAGCAUGGGGAGCAAACAGG